rnacentral:tRNA from 1 species
UAAACUAUAGUUUAUAAAAACAGGUGAUUURCAUUCAGAAGAAGAGAUAGGGUUAG